rnacentral:rRNA from 1 species
GAUGAACGCUGGCGGCGUGCCUAAUACAUGCAAGUCGAGCGAACAGAUGAGGAGCUUGCUCCUCUGACGUUAGCGGCGGACGGGUGAGUAACACGUGGAUAACCUACCUAUAAGACUGGGAUAACUUCGGGAAACCGGGGCUAAUACCGGAUAAUAUAUUGAACCGCAUGGUUCAAUAGUGAAAGACGGUUUUGCUGUCACUUAUAGAUGGAUCCGCGCCGCAUUAGCUAGUUGGUAAGGUAACGGCUUACCAAGGCAACGAUGCGUAGCCGACCUGAGAGGGUGAUCGGCCACACUGGAACUGAGACACGGUCCAGACUCCUACGGGAGGCAGCAGUAGGGAAUCUUCCGCAAUGGGCGAAAGCCUGACGGAGCAACGCCGCGUGAGUGAUGAAGGUCUUCGGAUCGUAAAACUCUGUUAUUAGGGAAGAACAAAUGUGUAAGUAACUAUGCACGUCUUGACGGUACCUAAUCAGAAAACCACGGCUAACUACGU